CAUCUUCUUUUCGGGGUUAAAUAUUGUCCUAAAAAUGCUUUUUGUAACUAAUUGUCUGCUUGGUCCAAAUAUUACUACUACUUUGUUGAUGUUGUUGUUUUUAGUUAGCAAUUUGGCCUUCAUAUGACGCUUAAGACUUCAAAUGAAACCAAACCACCACUUUAUCACCUUCCCAAUGCAGACUUUUUUGAACUGGUUUCAGAAAAAGCAAACGUCACUUCUGCCUCCAUCCACUUCUUCUCCCAAUAACAUCAAUAAUUUCUUUCUCUAUCUUCCUUUCUCUUUGUCUCUCUCUCUCAUCAUCAUCUCUCUCUCUCUCUCUCUCUCUCUCUCUCUCUCUCUCUCUCUCUCUCUCUCUCUCUCUCUCUCUCUCUCUCUCUCUCUCUCUCUCUCUCUCUCUCUCUCUCUCUCUCUCUCUCUCUCUCGAACUUCUUUCGUCUUCCUCUUCGUCUUCCUUCUCCCUCUUCUUCUUCGUCGUCCUCAAUGUUGUUUUGUUCUUUUGGUAUCUCACUGAAGGAAGAGACACAAAUGAUCCCUCACCACUACAACACGCCAUAGUCGAGUUUUACCACUGAGUUUUGAAUCUAACAAGGAUAGACACACUUUAGCAUAUGAACAAGGAUGGAGGGUAUGUACAGACUUCAAGCAGUAUCAAGUUUUAAAACAAAAUCCCUUCUGGUGAUGGCUAAAAUCUACUCGAGUUACAAAGUUAUAUGGUAGAUUACUAUAUAAUUUUAGCUUAUCUUAGAAUUAUAUUGUCAUAUUAAUUAUCGCAAGUGAUGGCCAUAAAAUUCAUGCUGCAAAACAUCUAUGAAAUCCAUCCAACGUUUUUUCCUAUUUGUUUCGUAUAUUGUAGCUUUGAACCAUCAUAAACUUUGGACAUUUGUGCUCCAAAAUGGUUGUUGCUGUGUUGUAUUUUCUGGUUUUUGCUACAUGUUUGGAGUGUUUUUUAUGACUUUUUCUUUGUUUCAGUUUUUUAGCACACUAAUAUUGUUACAAUUAUGCAUUUUAUGGCAAAUAACAAUUUCCUGCUUAGUGAAACUCUUGACGAAACUGUUAGUGCGUGUGAUUUAAUACGUUGUCGAAAUUAAAGGAUAUUUACCACCCCUUCUUUAAGACAAUAUGUGCCUUUGGAUGAGCAUUGUCUGAGUUUGCUGAGCAUUGUCUGAGAUGAUGUGAUGCAGGAGGAAUGACAAAGUGGUUGUCAUUGUUGCGUUCCAUGGUCUGGUAUUCGAAAUUGGGAGAAGUCGAGAAAAUUGCGAGAAUCUCUAAAGUAUGAAUUUUUUGUGAGUUGAUACUUAUAAUGUGAUUGUUCAUUCUGCAGUUUUCCAUUUAUGUGUACUAGAUUGCUUUAUAUUGGUAUACUUGUUGCACUGGAUAACUUCAUUUAAUGGUCACUUUACUGCAGGUUGAAAUAGAUAUAUGAGAUGCAUUGUGCUUAAAUAUGUUCUAACCAUUUUGUUGGUUUUUUUUAUACAAUUUUAUUUUGAUGAAGUUUAGUGGUAUCAAUGUGGAGCUGCUCCUGAUAUGGGUGGUCAAAUAAUUUUGCAUGCCAAUGGUGUUCUAAUUUUACAUGCCAAUGCUGUUUAAGAAUUUAUUGAUAUUGCAUAGGGUGUAAUGGGCUGUCCUGAAUUUAGGAUUUAAGCAUAUGGUGUGAGCUGUUUCUUUAAUUCAUUGAUACCUUUUUUCUUUAAUUCAUUGAUUUUAGGUAAAGGUUUUUACAUGGGAGAAUAAAUAGAAUGGGAAAAGACCCAAAGUGGGCCACUGCCAAAUGGUUUGCUAUCAAAUGAAGUUGCUUCUAUGAUACAGGUGCUUGACUCAGAGUAGUGGUCAAAGGCUGAACAGAGAACUGCGGAGCUAAUUGCUAGCACUAAGCCUAAUUCGCCUUGUGAGCGACGCCGAAAUGUAGUUGUUGAGUAUGUCCAAGAGCUGAUCACAAAGUGCUUCCUUUGGCAGGCAACAUCAGGUUCGUGACAAUGCUGCAAGAAUCAAACUUUGAAUGAUAGUUGGGCACAUCAGGUUUGUGACAUGCAUCAGGUUCCUGUCAUCAUUAAUGCCAUAGCCCAAUCAUUUACCAUAGUCAUGUAAAGUUUGAGUUUGAAUAUGAAUAAUAGGUUUUGCUACACUCAAUUGUUGAUGUCAAAGUAUCAUUUACCAUAUAUGGUGUUUUUAUAGCUAUUAAUCAAAACCAGUGUUAUAUAAUUAGCUUUUUGUGUUGAAUGAAUGAACAUAUAAUUAAUAAUGAGAUA